AGCAAGUUCUACAGGGAGGUCAGGACUGUGGAAGUGUAUUAGUGGAAGCGGUCAAGUUGGAUUUGCUCCACUAAUGUACUUCCACAUUCCUGGCCUCCCUGCCACCUCCGUUU